UAAACAGCAAGUCCAUAGGCUAGAACUUUAUUUUGACUAAUUGAACACUGCCAUCUGCUGCACAGAUCUGGGAAAUAGGAGGUAUUAGAUUUCCAGGAGGAAGGUGUUUCCUUCAAAAUAACAAAAGUUUGCUUGCUUUAUUUCUUGUCCCUUUGACCUCACUUUCCAAGUGAAAAGACGCAGAAUAUAAAAACAAAAAGGUCAAAAUAGCCUUGCAGAGGCCACUCUGACUUAUAUGAAAGGGUAGAGCUCAACUUUACAGGUCAGGUGGGAUUUGAAUAAGCCUCAUGGUGAAAAGAAGGGAUGGUAUGAGGAGAACUAAUAGUAGGAUCAUAGUUAGCAGCCCUGGGGGAAACACUGGCCUGGAGGCAACCCUGAGCAUGCCCACUUCCUAGCUGGGUGCCGAGGCGAAGUCCCGGCAUGUAUAACAUUGGGAUAAUAAUGGUGGAAACCUCUUAGAUUGUUGGGAGAUUUAGUGAAAUGAGCUAUGUCUUGUUUUUAGGACAGUACCUGUUAGUACUUAACAAAUAUUAGCUGCUGCUUUUGAAACUCAGACUGGGAAGAAAUAAAGGAAGUUGAUUAAAAAUUCACUAGCACCUUUGGAAUAAACUCCACAUUAGCCCCAUUCUCCCAAAUAGAUUUGAAGCAAGGAAGUGAAAGGAGUCAGGUGAUGAGAUUUUUCAACUUCAGCAGAGUGUAAACACAGAUCAACAACAGUAACAACUACCUUUCAAUGAGACUUUAUGCACCAGGUGUGGCUCUGUGUGUUACAUGUGUUAACUCAUUUAAUUUUUAUAUCAACUCCAUGAGGUGGGAACUUUUAGUAUUCUCAUUUUAUAGAUGAGGAAACAGGCACAGAGAGGGGCUAAGUGUAUUCAAGGUCAUGUGGCCAAUGAAUGACAGAACUAGCGUGAUGGUUAAUUGCUACGGCUAAGAGAUGCCCAGGUGGCCAGUUGGAUGUUACUUGUAAGAUCUUUCUGGAAGAGAUUAGCAUUUGAACCAGCAGACUGAAUAAAGAUCAUCCUCACCAAUGUGGGUUGGCAUUAUCGAAUUUCGUGAGAGCUUGAAUAGAACAAAAAGAAGAAAAGCAAAUUUGCUCUCUUCUUGUACUGGGAUAUCCACCUUCUUUGCUUAGUGGCUCCUUUGGUUCUUAGGCUUUUGAACCCAGGCUGAAUCACCACUGGCUUUCCUAGGGCUCCAGGCUGCAGAUGGCAGAUCAUGGGACUUCUUGGUCUCUACAAUUACUAUUAUGCUGAUCCAUUAUAUUGAUGAUAUCAUGAAGAUAUGAGGUAAAAAGGAGAAAACAGUGAAGAAUGGUGGAAGCCUUAAGGUAUAUGUGCACCAGUGGGCAGAAGAAAUCCCUACAGAAUUUCAGCAGCCGGCCAAAAUGAUUUUCUACCAAAUAAAAAAAGGUGACCUUCACUCUUCAAAAUUAUCAAAAGAAGAAUGAGGAACUGUUCCAGAUUAAAGACAUGACAACCAAA